rnacentral:pre_miRNA from 1 species
AUUUGAAUCAACUAGGGGUCUUGUUAAAAUGCAGAUACUGAUUUGACAAGCUUGAAGUGGGACCAAAGAUUCUGCAUUUCUAAUAAGAUCCUAGUUGAUGCUGCU